GGCAGAGGGAGCCCGACCCCCGUGGCCGGCGACGCCGGCCAUGAGGAAAGUCCCCCCACCGGCCGGACGGGCGACCGGGCGCAAGCCCGGAGUCGGAGACGGCUGGCUCUGGAACAGAAACGACACCCCCCGAUCCGACCGAUGAGGUGCGUCGACCGCGAACGCGGUCGACGGCGUCCGCGGUCCGCCGUGGACGGGCGAACCGACCCGCGAGGGAAGGGAGUUAACCCACCGAGGGCUGCGGGGCCUCACGUGCUCCGAUGCGAGCGGGGUUACCCGCGAGCCGACGAUCGGGAACGGAUGGAACGGCGAAUCCUCGCCGGUGCAAGCCCGCACCACCCGGCGGCCUCGCCGCCGGACAGGUAGUCCGGCCACGGCGCGGGCGCUCAGCCGAAUGUCGGGACGAACAGAAGGGGGCUUACUCCCCUCAGCC
rnacentral:RNase_P_RNA from 1 species